GAUGAACGCUGGCGGCGUGCCUAAUACAUGCAAGUCGAGCGAACAGACGAGGAGCUUGCUCCUCUGACGUUAGCGGCGGACGGGUGAGUAACACGUGGAUAACCUACCUAUAAGACUGGGAUAACUUCGGGAAACCGGAGCUAAUACCGGAUAAUAUAUUGAACCGCAUGGUUCAAUAGUGAAAGACGGUUUUGCUGUCACUUAUAGAUGGAUCCGCGCCGCAUUAGCUAGUUGGUAAGGUAACGGCUUACCAAGGCAACGAUGCGUAGCCGACCUGAGAGGAGGGUGGCCCACACGAAAGCUAAACCAGGCCCAAGACUCCAAGGGGAGGCAGAAGUGGGGACUUUUCCACAGGGGGGGAAGCCCUGAGGAAGCAGCCCGGGGUGAAUGAUAAGGUUCUCGGGAUCGAAAAACUCUUUUAUGGGGAAAAAACAAGUUUGAAAAUAAAUCUGCCCGUCUGGAGGGGACCUAAUAAGAAACCCCCGGCUAACUACGUG
rnacentral:rRNA from 1 species